rnacentral:misc_RNA from 1 species
AAACAAUCGAUUGUAUAAUUCUUUCAUGUACAGGUAUAGUUGUAUACUAGACUAUUGUGCAUAGACGCUAAUGAAUAAUACGCAUUCUUAAAAUCUCAAGGUUAUCAUCUUUCAGUAGAGUGUUGGUCAAAACUGAAAAAUAAGUUCGUCCAAGUGUAACACCAAAUAUGUUUUAUAUUACAUCGCGUAUAUCACAAUUCUACAUCAAGAGAGAAGUCUCAAUACCGGAGCUGGCUGUGGAACUGUUGUCAACAGAAGGCGCUACAACUGGAGGUGAAUCAACUGAUGAAGGUUGAGACUCUGCAUCAGAAAUAUCAGAUUCCACAGAGCUCAUUCUUUCGGUCUCUGAUGAUUCUACUUCCUCUUUAGAUUUCCCUGAUGACUUCCCAGACAUCACUUCCUUUAUGCCACCACCAACAGAUUUGCCAGCAUCUUUAAGGAUUCUCUUCGUCUUGCCCCAUUUGUGAAACUUUUCCCAUUUCCUGCACCGUUCUCUUUUCCAUCUUCUGUAGGUGUUGUUGCUAAUGAUGAAGGCAAAAUGGUGUCAUCCACUAUAAUCUUCACUCUGAUAUCCUUGGCAUUAACUGCCCUAAGAUUCACAUGCAGAGAUGAAAUAGGCUCUCCAAGAUUGCUAGAACUUCUCCGGAGAACUGAGCUGAUCUUAUGUAAACCCCUGUGUAAACGACCUGGGGAAUCCCCUAGGUAAUUCAGGCUUAAACCAACAUUUACAGUGAAUAAGAAGAUACCAAGGUCACCCACAGAACUGUAACGCAGAGCAUACAUGGUAAAAGUCAACGGACACACGGGGAGCAAAAGGGGUCAAAGAUUACCUCAUCAAGAAAUAAAAUAGAGGCCUUCUUCAGUAGAGCCCUUGCAACAGCAAUUAGCUGAAAACAGAAAGAUGGCGUAAUAUAACUCUGCAAACUUGUGCUAAUCUGAUUUUGGCAUUCACCUUUUGAAUCAGCACUCUCUGAAAAAUUUGAGCCCUUAAGCUGGACAUAGCCUUCUCCCAAAUGGAAUUCAUGUUCACCAAAUAACAUAGAAUGUAACAAAGCUGAUUUAUCGAACUUAACUACUUCACUUGUAAUUAAUCUUAGUCAUACUAAAUAGAGCUCCAAAUACUUAAUUGGUGCUGCCAAUAGAACAAGAAAUUCUAAAAUCCUUCACACAAUGAAAAACUUUUAAGUAAACAUAAAUAUUAAGUUUAUUUUAGAUAAUACAAUGCCUUGAACUAGUUAUGUAGCUUCUCAAAGUCAAUAGGAACGUCUCCCAUCACCCUCCGUAAUCACAUCUUUGAAAGCACCGCCACUGGGAAUCAUCGGUAGAACAUGCUCCUGAUGAGGUACAAUCACAAGCAACAAGUAUGGCCCAGG